rnacentral:tRNA from 1 species
GUCUGGAUGGCUCAGUUGGUUGAGCACCUGACUUCGGCUCAGGUCGGAAUCACACAGUUUGUGAGUUCGAGCCCCGUAUCAGGCU